rnacentral:rRNA from 1 species
AUUGAACGCUGGCGGCAGGCCUAACACAUGCAAGUCGAGCGGGGCGACGGACGGGUGGGUGAUGACUGGGAAUCUGCCUGGUCGAUGGGGAUAGAGUACGGAAACGAACGCUAGUUACGCAUGCGCUCAGCUGAACCUAGGUGGGAUUGGCUAGUUGGUAGGGUAAGGGCCUACAAAGGCGACGAUCCGUAACUGGUCUGAGAGGAUGAUCAGUCACACUGGAACUGAGACACGGUCCAGACUCCUACGGGAGGCAGCAGUGGGGAAUAUUGGACAAUGGGCGCAAGCCUGAUGCAGCCAUGCCGCGUGUAUGAAGAAGGUCUUCGGAUUGUAAAGUACUUUAAGUCGGGAGGCGUUACCAACAGAAGAAGCACCGGCUAACUCCGUGCCAGCAGCCGCGGUAAUAC